rnacentral:rRNA from 1 species
UUAAGCUAUGAAGGGCGCACGGAGGAUGCCUUGGCGCCAGGUGCCGAUGAAGGACGGGGCUAACGCCGAUACGCCUCGGGGAGCCGUAAGCAGGCUUUGAUCCGGGGAUUUCCGAAUGGGGCAACCCACCCCGCGUAAUGGCGGGGUAUCCACUGCUGAAUCCAUAGGCAGUGAGAAGGUACACCAGGGAACUGAAACAUCUUAGUACCCUGAGGAAAAGAAAACAACAGUGAUUCCCUCAGUAGUGGCGAGCGAACGGGAAGAGCCUAAACCGCAUGUGCUUGCACAGGCGGGGUCGUGGGGCGUCUCACAUGGAGUUACCAAUCCUUUUCGUAAGAGAACGGCUUGGAACGGCCGACCAGAGAGGGUGACAGUCCCGUAUCUGAAACGAAGAGGACUCCGAGACGGACCCCGAGUACCGCGGGACACGAGGAAUCCCGUGGGAAUCCGGGAGGACCACCUCCUAAGGCUAAAUACAACCUGGCGACCGAUAGUGAACCAGUACCGUGAGGGAAAGGUGAAAAGCACCGCGGGAGCGGAGUGAAAGAGAACCUGAAACCGUGUGCCUACAAUCAGUCGGAGGGCGAUAUCCGCAAGGAUGUGCCUGACGGCGUGCCUUUUGUAGAAUGAACCGGCGAGUUACGAUUGCGUGCGAGGUUAAGGCGGGAAGCCGGAGCCGCAGCGAAAGCGAGUCUGAAGAGGGCUUGAGUACGCAGUCGUAGACCCGAAACCGUGUGAUCUAUCCCUGUGCAGGAUGAAGUGCGGGUAAAGCCGCAUGGAGGUCCGAACCCACGCAUGUUGAAAAAUGCGGGGAUGACGUGGGGAUAGCGGUGAAAUUCCAAUCGAACUCGGAGAUAGCUGGUUCUCCCCGAAAUAGCUUUAGGGCUAGCGUCGGAGCAGAGACAUGGAGGUAGAGCACUGAUUGGGCUAGGGGCCUUCGCGGGUUACCGAACUCAGUCAAACUCCGAAUGCCAUGAUCUCGGUCUCCGGCAGUCAGACUACGAGUGCUAAGAUCCGUGGUCAAAAGGGAAACAGCCCAGACCAUCAGCUAAGGUCCCCAAAUUCCGGUUAAGUGGGAAACGAUGUGGCGGUGCACAGACAACCAGGAUGUUGGCUUAGAAGCAGCCACCAUUUAAAGAGUGCGUAAUAGCUCACUGGUCGAGUGACGCUGCGCGGAAAAUGUAACGGGGCUCAAACCGGAUACCGAAGCUAUGGAUGGAUCGUUCGUCACUGAGCGGUUCGUGGUAGGGGAGCGUUCUUGUUGCGGUGAAGUCAGACCGUGAGGACUGGUGGAGCGGCAAGAAGUGAGAAUGCCGGUAUAAGUAGCGAAAAGACAGGUGAGAAUCCUGUCCACCGAAAGCCUAAGGGUUCCUGGGGAAGGCUCGUCCGCCCAGGGUUAGUCGGGACCUAAGCCGAGGCCGAAAGGCGUAGGCGAUGGAAAACAGGUGGAAAUUCCUGUACCACCAUGCAGCCGUUUGAGCGAUGGAGUGACGCAGAAGGAUAGGGUGAGCGGACGAUUGGAUGUCCGUGCAAGCAGCGAGGCUGAGAGGCAGGCAAAUCCGUCUCUCGGUAAGGCUGAGCUGUGACGCCGAGCGAAUUCAAGUAGCGAAGUCCCUGAUUUCACGCUGCCAAGAAAAGCUUCUAGCGAGGCUGCUGGUGCCCGUACCGCAAACCGACACAGGUAGGCGAGGAGAGAAUCCUAAGGUGCUCGGAAGAACUCUCGUUAAGGAACUCGGCAAAAUGGCCCCGUAACUUCGGGAGAAGGGGCGCUCCGGUAGGGUGAUGAGCCCGAGGGAGCCGCAGUGAAAAGGCCCAAGCGACUGUUUAGCAAAACACAGGUCUCUGCUAAGCCGUAAGGCGACGUAUAGGGCUGACGCCUGCCCGGUGCUGGAAGGUUAAGGGAAGGGUUAGCGAAAGCGAAGCUCUGAACCGAAGCCCCAGUAAACGGCGGCCGUAACUAUAACGGUCCUAAGGUAGCGAAAUUCCUUGUCGGGUAAGUUCCGACCCGCACGAAUGGCGUAACGACUUGGGCGCUGUCUCGACGAGAGAUCCGGUGAAAUUGUAAUACCUGUGAAGAUGCAGGUUACCCGUGGCUAGACGGAAAGACCCCAUGGAGCUUGACUGUAGCUUGAUAUGGAAGAUGGGUAUCUCAUGUACAGGAUAGGUGGGAGGCUUGGAAAUCAGGGCGCCAGCCUUGGUGGAGCCGCCGUUGGGAUACCACCCUUGAGGUACUGAUCUUCUAACCUGUGCCCGUCAUCCGGGCAAGGGACAAUGUCAGGCGGGCAGUUUGACUGGGGCGGUCGCCUCCUAAAAGGUAACGGAGGCGCCCAAGGGUUCCCUCAGCGCGGUUGGAAAUCGCGCUUCGAGUGCAAAGGCAUAAGGGAGCUUGACUGCGAGACAUACAGGUCGAGCAGGGACGAAAGUCGGGCUUAGUGAUCCGGCGGUUCCAAGUGGAAGGGCCGUCGCUCAACGGAUAAAAGCUACCCUGGGGAUAACAGGCUUAUCUCCCCAAGAGUCCACAUCGACGGGGAGGUUUGGCACCUCGAUGUCGGCUCAUCGCAUCCUGGGGCUGUAGUUGGUCCCAAGGGUUGGGCUGUUCGCCCAUUAAAGCGGUACGCGAGCUGGGUUCAGAACGUCGUGAGACAGUUCGGUCCCUAUCUGCCACGGGCGCAGGAAGUUUGAGAGGAGUUGUCCUUAGUACGAGAGGACCGGGAUGAACCGACCGCUGGUGUCUCAGUUGUGGUGCCAACCGCAUCGCUGCGUAGCUAUGUCGGGCCGGGAUAAGCGCUGAAAGCAUCUAAGCGCGAAGCCCCCCUCAAGAUAAGACUUCCCACUCGGUCAACGAGGUAAGACCCCCUGAAGAUGACAGGGUGGAUAGGCGGGAGGUGUAAGCACCGCGAGGUGUUGAGCUGACCCGUACUAAUCGGUCGAGGGCUUAAUC